rnacentral:rRNA from 1 species
GAUGAACGCUGGCUGCGUGCCUAAUACAUGCAAGUCGAGCGAACGGACGAGAAGCUUGCUUCUCUGAUGUUAGCGGCGGACGGGUGAGUAACACGUGGAUAACCUACCUAUAAGACUGGGAUAACUUCGGGAAACCGGAGCUAAUACCGGAUAAUAUUUUGAACCGCAUGGUUCAAAAGUGAAAGACGGUCUUGCUGUCACUUAUAGAUGGAUCCGCGCUGCAUUAGCUAGUUGGUAAGGUAACGGCUUACCAAGGCAACGAUGCAUAGCCGACCUGAGAGGGUGAUCGGCCACACUGGAACUGAGACACGGUCCAGACUCCUACGGGAGGCAGCAGUAGGGAAUCUUCCGCAAUGGGCGAAAGCCUGACGGAGCAACGCCGCGUGAGUGAUGAAGGUCUUCGGAUCGUAAAACUCUGUUAUUAGGGAAGAACAUAUGUGUAAGUAACUGUGCACAUCUUGACGGUACCUAAUCAGAAAGCCACGGCUAACUACGUGCCAGCAGCCGCGGUAAUACGUAGGUGGCAAGCGUUGUCCGGAAUUAUUGGGCGUAAAGCGCGCGUAGGCGGUUUUUUAAGUCUGAUGUGAAAGCCCACGGCUCAACCGUGGAGGGUCAUUGGAAACUGGAAAACUUGAGUGCAGAAGAGGAAAGUGGAAUUCCAUGUGUAGCGGUGAAAUGCGCAGAGAUAUGGAGGAACACCAGUGGCGAAGGCGACUUUCUGGUCUGUAACUGACGCUGAUGUGCGAAAGCGUGGGGAUCAAACAGGAUUAGAUACCCUGGUAGUCCACGCCGUAAACGAUGAGUGCUAAGUGUUAGGGGGUUUCCGCCCCUUAGUGCUGCAGCUAACGCAUUAAGCACUCCGCCUGGGGAGUACGACCGCAAGGUUGAAACUCAAAGGAAUUGACGGGGACCCGCACAAGCGGUGGAGCAUGUGGUUUAAUUCGAAGCAACGCGAAGAACCUUACCAAAUCUUGACAUCCUUUGACAACUCUAGAGAUAGAGCCUUCCCCUUCGGGGGACAAAGUGACAGGUGGUGCAUGGUUGUCGUCAGCUCGUGUCGUGAGAUGUUGGGUUAAGUCCCGCAACGAGCGCAACCCUUAAGCUUAGUUGCCAUCAUUAAGUUGGGCACUCUAAGUUGACUGCCGGUGACAAACCGGAGGAAGGUGGGGAUGACGUCAAAUCAUCAUGCCCCUUAUGAUUUGGGCUACACACGUGCUACAAUGGACAAUACAAAGGGCAGCGAAACCGCGAGGUCAAGCAAAUCCCAUAAAGUUGUUCUCAGUUCGGAUUGUAGUCUGCAACUCGACUACAUGAAGCUGGAAUCGCUAGUAGUCGUAGAUCAGCAUGCUACGGUGAAUACGUUCCCGGGUCU